UUUUUAUUUGAGAUCUGCCUUGCUUAUUUCACAAAGAGUUGCAACCCGAAUGCUGAAGAUUUCUUCUCUCCUCUCUCCCCAACCUGCACAGUUCUGGUAGGGGGUGGGAUGUGUUACAUGCUUUACCCAGGAUCCCAGGCGUGCGUCUUCAUUAUUUUUAGUAGUAAUCUCAUCGCCGGUCUGUUUUCUGGAAAGUGCCCUGAUAGUGUUUUGUUGGAGCCUUUCAUUACGUUUCAUGGUUAGGGAAGAGGGUUAUGUAUGAACACAUCCACUCGCAUCUCCCAAAGUGCUGGGAUUACAGGCAUGAGCCACCGUACCCAGCCUCCUUUUGCCUUUUUUAAAAACUUUCUUAGACAUCCUUCAGGCAGCCAUGUGGCUUGCUGGAGAUGAAAACACAGUCCACAUCAGAACUUGUCCUAAACUCUGGGCCCAUAUAUCCAUCUGCUACACAGUUGGCGGGGCGUGGUGGCUCACGCCUGUAACCCCAGCACUUUGGGAGGCAGAGGCGGGUGGGUUACCUGAGGUCAAGAGUUCAAGACCAGCCUGACCAACAUGGAGAAACCCCUACUAAAAUACAAAAUACAAAAAUACAAAAUUAGCCAGGCAUAGUGGCGCAUGCCUGUAAUCCUAGCUACUCGGGAGGCUGAGGCAGGAGAAUCGCUUGAACCUGGGAUGCAGAGGUUACGGUGAGCCGAGAUCGGGCCACUGCAUUUCAGCCUGAGCAAUAACAGUGACACUC
rnacentral:lncRNA from 1 species